rnacentral:rRNA from 1 species
UACGAAGGUCCCAAGCGUUGUUCGGAAUCAUUGGGCGUAAAGAGUAUGUAGGCGGCUAUUUAAGUCAGGCGUGCAAGCCCACGGCUCAACCGUGGAAUUGCGUUUGAAACUAUUUAGCUUGAGUACAGGAGAGGAAGGCGGAAUUCCCAGUGUAGCGGUGAAAUGCAUUGAUAUUGGGAAGAACACCGGUGGCGAAGGCGGCCUUCUGGUCUGAUACUGACGCUAAGGUGCGAAAGCGUGGGGAGCGAACAGG